rnacentral:lncRNA from 1 species
GCCCUAGUAGUCGGUGGCUGGUCGGUGACUGGGACCAGACCGUCGCCUCCUCCCUUUUACAGCUUUAAGUCUGUGACCCGAGGCCUCUCUGUAUAUUCCCGUGGGGUUGGGCCUAGUUGUCCUGGGAGAAACUAGAUGGAUGAGGAGUAUUUCCGAGACAGGUCCCAGGGCCAGCGCAGCCUUUUCUGUUGCAGAACCGCGACUGUUGUUUUGGGAUCCAGGCCGGAGGGUUUGUUGCUUGUGUUCAUUCCAGUUAACCAUUAGUACUCGAGAAGGUGGUACAGAACGCAUCUAUCCCCUUAGAAGAAAAGAAAUUAAAAGCCAAACUAAACUGGGAUAUAUAUUAAUAUAGGAAACUACCACUGAGACAUAGGAAAGUGUAUUAAAAUAUAACUAGUGAGGUGCUAUGUAUAAUUCAGAGGAAGGGGAAAUUAUGCAUGGGCCAGACUACUAACAAAAGGCUCCAAAGCCUGGGAUACGCUGAGGGCCUUUCCAUAACAGAAAAUGAAAAGGAACCUAAAUUUGAGACUAGAUUUGAGGAAAGGCACAGUUGCGCUGGAGUAGAAAGCGUCUGUCUACCGCAGUGGAAAGUAAGUUUUCGUAAAUGCAGACUAGCUCCAGGGUGAGGACAGAAUCUAGCUUUUAAAUCAGUAUAAUCUCUCUUCUUUUACAUUUGAAAAUCUCUGCAGCGAUAUGUUAUUGUAUCCCCAGCACCAUACAAAGGACAUACAAGGGCCAAAUACUGUGGGAAUAUUUAUUAAUGAUAUUAAUGAUGAUGCUGUCCGGGCCAAAGGAAAACUUCCGCUUCACCUUCUGAAGUUUCGCUGAAAGUCACUGACAGGAGGCAGUUAAUAGGAGAAAAGACAUAGACAUUGAUUUGACCAUCGUUUUAUGUGACACGGGAGCCUUCAGAAUGAAGACCCAAAGAUAACAAGGGAAAUCGUGUAUUUGUAUGCUUAGGUUCAACAAAGCAUGGACAGCCGUAUAAAAAAAUGACUGGACAAGGCCGGGCGCGGUGGCUCACGCCUGUAAUCUCAGCACUUUGGGAGGCUGAGGCGGGCGGAUCACAAGGUCAGGAGAUCGAGACCAUCCUGGCUAACACAGUGAAACCCCGUCUCUACUAAAAAUACUAAAAAUUAGCCAGGCGUGGUGGCGGGCGCCUGUAGUCCCAGCUACUCAGGAGGCUGAGGCAGGAGAAUGGCGUGAACCCGGGAGGCGGAGCUUGCAGUGAGCCGAGAUUGCGUCACCGCACUCCAGCCUGGGCGACAGAGCGAGACUCCGUCUCAAAAAAAAUGACUGGACAAAAAACACUCUGAUGCAAACAGGCAAGAAACCCAGCAAGGCCUAUCUGGAUUCUCCUUGGCCUGUCUGCAGCAUUCAUUCCUUCUGGGUAUGGAACAGGACCCUCUGGAAUGGGGGCUGUGGCCUACAACAGUUAAACAAGUGAACUAAAGGGCUCCCAAAAUCUCUCCUGCAGCAUUUUCCUUGAGAAGGAGGAAGGUUUGCAUCUCUGUGAGAAGAAACAUCAGAAGCAGUUGAAAGACCAGGAUGUGGGUCCUCUGGGGCUGAGGAGGCAUUCUGAAUCAACUGUGUGUUCUACACCUGUGUUUUAACUGUGACCUGUCACAUGAGGACAAGUGUGGAAUUUCCCACUUUUGUGCCAUAAAUCUCUCUCUGGGAACAGUGUGGAAGAUGGAUUGAAAUGGUGUAAAAUUGAAGAUGUGGACUCCGGUUGGGAGACUACACCCUAGAUAAGAUGAAGAGAACUUGAAGCAAGACAAUAGCAAUGGGAAUAUAAAGGAGAGGAGACAUUUGAGUGAAAUUAAGGAAGCACAAUCUGCAGACUGUUUUCUUUUUUUUAAGAGUCAGGGUCUCCCUAUUUUGCCCAGGCUGGUCUCAAAGUCCUAGGCUCAAGCGACCCACCCACCUCAGCCUUCCAAAAUGCUGGAAUUACAGGGGUGAACUGCCUCACCAUGCCUCAGUCUGCAGAAUUUGAUGACUGAAUGUAUUUGGAGAGAGUCUGUGGCUUGGAUGACUGGAGACGGAGUUUCUCCAUUUUGGCCAGUUUGGUGUCGAC